UUUACUUCAUUACUAACACUGUGUUUGUUCUUUAAUCCUCCUCAAGAGGAUCUUCCCAUUACUUCUGAUUAUCAGGACGUCUCAACAGCUGAAACACCUCAAGCUCUUAACGAGGAGAAUGGCAAGCUCAUGCUUUUUGUGUACAGCCCACUGUACUGUGGCCCUGUCACCAUCUACAGGGGGGUCAGUGAGACAAGCGGACAGCUGCUUCCAUGGAGAUACAGUCCUUUAUACUGUGGACCAGUGGUUCUGUUCUCUG